rnacentral:rRNA from 1 species
AGUCAAUAGAUACCCUGGUAGUCCACGCCGUAAACGAUGAGUACUAGGUGUAGGAGGUAUCGACUCCUUCUGUGCCGCAGUUAACACAAUAAGUACUCCGCCUGGGAAGUACGGUCGCAAGAUUAAAACUCAAAGGAAUUGACGGGGGCCCGCACAAGCAGCGGAGCAUGUGGUUUAAUUCGAAGCAACGCGAAGAACCUUACCUAGACUUGACAUCUCCUGAAUAGCGUAGAGAUACGUGAAGCCCUUCGGGGCAGGAAGACAGGUGGUGCAUGGUUGUCGUCAGCUCGUGUCGUGAGAUGUUGGGUUAAGUCCCGCAACGAGCGCAACCCUUAUCAUUAGUUGCUACCAUUAAGUUGAGCACUCUAGUGAGACUGCCCGGGUUAACCGGGAGGAAGGCGGGGAUGACGUCAAAUCAUCAUGCCCCUUAUGUCUAGGGCUACACACGUGCUACAAUGGUGAGAACAACGAGAUGCAAUACCGCGAGGUGGAGCCAAACUUGAAAACUCAUCCCAGUUCGGAUUGCAGG